CCUACGGGAGGCAGCAGUGGGGAAUAUUGCACAAUGGGGGAAACCCUGAUGCAGCCAUGCCGCGUGUGUGAAGAAGGCCUUCGGGUUGUAAAGCACUUUCAGCGAGGAGGAAAGGGUGUAAGUUAAUACCUUACAUCCGUGACGUUACUCGCAGAAGAAGCACCGGCUAACUCCGUGCCAGCAGCCGCGGUAAU
rnacentral:rRNA from 1 species